AUGAUGGACUAUAGGACAGGACUGCUGCUUCUAACUAUCUGCUGGACAGGUGUUGAUGGUCAGACUCUGACAGAAUCUGAACCAUCGGUUAAAAAGCCUGGAGAAUCCCACAAACUGACUUGUACAGCUUCUGGAUUUAACUUUGGUGGCUCUUGGAUGGCUUGGAUCAGACAGCCUGCAGGGAAAGGACUGGAGUGGAUUGCAACUAUCAGAUACGACAGUGCUUACAUUUACUACUCUCAGUCAGUUCAAGGCCGGUUUACCAUCUCCAGAGACAACAGCAGAGAGCAGCUGUAUCUGCAGAUGAACAGUCUGAAGACUGAAGAUUCUGCUGUUUAUUAUUGUGCUCGACACUCACAGUGA